rnacentral:rRNA from 1 species
UACGUAGGGUGCAAGCGUUGUCCGGAAUUAUUUGGGCGUAAAGAGCUCGUAGGCGGUCUGUUGCGUCGCUGUGAAAACCCGCGGCUCAACCGCGGGCCUGCAGCCGAUACGGGCAGGCUAGAGUUCGGUAGGGGAGACUGGAAUUCCUGGUGUAGCGGUGAAAUGCGCAGAUAUCAGGAGGAACACCGAUGGCGAAGGCAGGUCUCUGGGCCGAUACUGACGUG